AGGUAACCACUUAACAUUAGGAUUUUUGUUAAACCACCUUUCACUGUAAUCAGUGACGCAGUGGUCCUU
rnacentral:sRNA from 1 species